CGAAACCUGCACAGCAGAGCGACCCGCGAACGAGUUAAUGCAGACCCCGGCGGACCGAGGAGGGGCUUGCACCCCCGAUCGACCCGCCUGCCGGACCACGACUCCCGCUGCGAUCGCGCUCACGCUGCGAACGGAGGGGAGGGUCGUUGCGUCCGCACAAAACCAUAAUUCGGCGCGACAAGCGCCAAGGAAUUCUUAGCGGAAAGAGAGGGACGUCCUCGUCAGCGGGGGCGUACCUCGUCGUCCGAUACUCGAACGACUCUCGGCAACGGAUAUCUCGGCUCUUGCAUCGAUGAAGAACGUAGCGAAAUGCGAUACUUGGUGUGAAUUGCAGAAUCCCGUGAACCAUCGAGUCUUUGAACGCAAGUUGCGCCCGAGGCCACUAGGCCGAGGGCACGUCUGCCUGGGCGUCACACACAGCGUCGCAUCCCGCCAAUCACGUUGACGGGGAGCGGAUAUUGGCCCCCCGAGCCCAUUCGGGCACGGUCGGCACAAAUGAUGGUCCCCUGCGGCGAGCGUCGCGGUCAGCGGUGGUUGUGUUCAUCCUCCAAAGACAUCAAGACGCGACAGCUCGCGCUGCACUCGGGGGCGCGCGCACCCCACGGAGCCGCCACAAACGGC
rnacentral:rRNA from 1 species